GCCAGGUGUGGUGAUGCAUGCCUGUAAUCCCAGUUACUUGGGAGGCUGAGGCAGGAGACUCACUUGAACCCAGGAGACAGCAGUUGCAGUGAGCUGAGAUCAUGCCACUGCACUGCAGCCUGGGCAACAGAGUGAGACUCUGUCUCAA
rnacentral:sRNA from 1 species